rnacentral:pre_miRNA from 1 species
GGUGGAAUUGAUGGGUCAUAUGGUAACUCUGUUAAACUUUUAAAAGAACUGCUCAUCUAUUUUCCAAAGUAGGUGCACUGUUUACAUUUUGACCAGAAAU